rnacentral:tmRNA from 1 species
UAAAUUUAGUCCACGUUUCAACGCUUGAACCUAUUGCAAUCGAAAGAUUUUUCGCGUGAACUAAAUGCAUCUUUUUCAUAUAAGGUUCAGUACCCGGCGCCUCCACCAAAAACCGGUCGGAUCACAUGACCGGCUUUUGAUGGGGGCGAAAUAGGAUCGACAAGGGCGUAAAGAUCGAACUUUUGCUCGGCAUGAUACCACCGUUAUCGGGUCAAAAUAGUAGUUGCAAACGACAACUAUGCGGAAGCUCGUCUCGCUGCUUAAUCGCGGUGUGACACUUCAAAUCAAGUCCUAAGGGGGUACCUGGCAACAGAAACCUCCACU